AGCGUAGACGGUAAAGCAAGUCUGAAGUGAAAGCCCGGGGCUCAACCCCGGGACUGCUUUGGAAACUGUAUGGCUAGAGUGCUGGAGAGGCAAGCGGAAUUCCUAGUGUAGCGGUGAAAUGCGUAGAUAUUAGGAAGAACACCAGUGGCGAAGGCGGCUUGCUGGACAGUAACUGACGUUCAGGCUCGAAAGCGUGGGGAGCAAACA
rnacentral:rRNA from 1 species